AUUGAACGCUGGCGGCAGGCCUAACACAUGCAAGUCGAGCGGUAACAGAAAGUAGCUUGCUACUUUGCUGACGAGCGGCGGACGGGUGAGUAAUGCUUGGGAACAUGCCUUGAGGUGGGGGACAACAGUUGGAAACGACUGCUAAUACCGCAUAAUGUCUACGGACCAAAGGGGGCUUCGGCUCUCGCCUUUAGAUUGGCCCAAGUGGGAUUAGCUAGUUGGUGAGGUAAUGGCUCACCAAGGCAACGAUCCCUAGCUGGUUUGAGAGGAUGAUCAGCCACACUGGGACUGAGACACGGCCCAGACUCCUACGGGAGGCAGCAGUGGGGAAUAUUGCACAAUGGGCGCAAGCCUGAUGCAGCCAUGCCGCGUGUGUGAAGAAGGCCUUCGGGUUGUAAAGCACUUUCAGUCAGGAGGAAAGGUUAGUAGUUAAUACCUGCUAGCUGUGACGUUAC
rnacentral:rRNA from 1 species